GGAUCCUCGUAAGAGGCCGACGGCAAUCAAUGCUCUUCAGCAUCCUUUUUUCCAGAGUUACUUUUAUGUACCUCCAUCACUACGCACCAAGGCUGCUGUUGCUAAGACCCCUCCUUCUGCCGUUGUGCGGGGUGCAGUGGAGCAGAAGUACAAGUGGUCAUCUGGAUUGUCGAACAAUCCCAAACCUAGCAACAACUUCUCAG